rnacentral:lncRNA from 1 species
CCUGUUUGCAGUUGUGAGGGAGCAAGAAAUGUAACAUUUUUUGCAAAACGUUUCAAAUACUGGAGACUCAGUAACAUCCCAUUUCUGGCAACACCUAGGGGAAAGGAGGACGCAGUAAUGAGCAAAACCGUCCUGGGGAAAAGAGCACAGGAUAUGAAGUGUAAGUCGUUACUCCUCGGUGAUGCAGGGUCCAAGCAAGUCAGGGCUUCUGAGGGAGGCUGCUGCCAAGGGCUCUGACUUGCCUGCCCCGUGGGCCAAGGCUUGCCUUAGCCACAAUAGUUUACUAUGCCCAGACAAAAAAGGAAAUUCAUGAACAGAGAGCAUGUCAAGUGUAUGGCCACUGCCAAGAAAGAGAGCCAGAAUCUCCCGGUCGGGCUUUUCCUUGGCCUUUCCGCUUUCACGAGGGUGGAGCCGGGCCAGGUGAACCAACCUGAGCACCUCUGGUACAAGCCUGCAGCUUGCUUGGGAAAGCCUUGCCUUUCAUAGAAGACAUGAUUGCUUUAAGAGAGUCCCAACCAGAGAAGAGGACUGUGGAGGAGGGAAGAGGGGAAGGUACAACUGAACAGAGGCUUUGAUUGUGAGGCUCCAGCCAGACCCACGCUUCCUCCUGCCUUCCUGCCUCAACCCUCCCCGGUGGACCCCUCACCAGAUGAAGGUCUGUUAGCUGAGCUGGGGGAUGAUGACUCAGAGCAACGGGGCUGACUUUCAGGCAAGGCCUGAGUUUGGUUUUAAUUAUGCUGCGCUGUGUGCAUGAACUAAAAUUGCGGGAUGAUGUGAAAGAAAAAUAAAU